UGGGGAAUAUUGGACAAUGGGGGCAACCCUGAUCCAGCAAUGCCGCGUGUGUGAAGAAGGUUUUCGGAUUGUAAAGCACUUUCGGCGGGGACGAUGAUGACGGUACCCGCAGAAGAAGCCCCGGCUAACUUCGUGCCAGCAGCCGCGGUAAUACGAAGGGGGCUAGCGUUGCUCGGAAUGACUGGGCGUAAAGGGCGUGUAGGCGGUUUGUACAGUCAGAUGUGAAAUCCCCGGGCUUAACCUGGGAGCUGCAUUUGAGACGUGCAGACUAGAGUGUGAGAGAGGGUUGUGGAAUUCCCAGUGUAGAGGUGAAAUUCGUA
rnacentral:rRNA from 1 species